rnacentral:lncRNA from 1 species
AAAAACAUAUAUGUUUAGUUAAUUUAUUAUUUACAUUCAUAAAAGUUAUAGUGGUCUUUUACUCAUAUUUUAGAAUAAUUUACUUUUACAAAGACACCUGUUUUUUUUUGUAAGGGCGAGAUAUGAUAAUACAAUAUAAUUCUAUUCGACUUUAAUAUACAGAUUAUUUAAUAAUUUAUAUUAAUUUAUUGAUAAGCGAUAGAAAAAAAUGUUAUUG